CCCUUAGAUGUUCUGGGCCGCACGCGCGCUACACUGACGAUGGCAACGAGUUUUUCCUUCGCCGAAAGGUGUGGGUAAUCUUUUGAAACAUCGUCGUGCUGGGGAUAGAUCAUUGCAAUUUUUGAUCUUGAACGAGGAAUUCCUAGUAAGCGCGAGUCAUCAGCUCGCGUUGAUUACGUCCCUGCCCUUUGUACACACCGCCCGUCGCUCCUACCGAUUGAAUGAUCCGAUGAAUAUCAUGGAUUGAGGAUGCAAGCAGGUUCGCCUGUCUUCAUCUUCGAGAAGUGAAGUAAAUCUUAUCAUUUAGAGGAAGGAGAAGUCGUAACA
rnacentral:rRNA from 1 species